rnacentral:rRNA from 1 species
AGUGAACGCUGGCGGCAGGCCUAACACAUGCAAGUCGAACGGCAGCGGGUCCUUCGGGAUGCCGGCGAGUGGCGGACGGGUGAGGAAUACAUGGGAAUCUGCCCAGUCGUGGGGGAUAACGUAGGGAAACUUACGCUAAUACCGCAUGCGACCUUAGGGUGAAAGCGGCGGACCGCAAGGCGUCGCGCGAUUGGAUGAGCCCAUGUCGGAUUAGCUAGUUGGCGGGGUAAAGGCCCACCAAGGCGACGAUCCGUAGCUGGUCUGAGAGGAUGAUCAGCCACACUGGAACUGAGACACGGUCCAGACUCCUACGGGAGGCAGCAGUGGGGAAUAUUGGACAAUGGGCGCAAGCCUGAUCCAGCCAUGCCGCGUGAGUGAAGAAGGCCUUCGGGUUGUAAAGCUCUUUUGUCCGGAAAGAAAAGCUCUCGGUUAAUACCCGGGGGUUCUGACGGUACCGGAAGAAUAAGCACCGGCUAACUUCGUGCCAGCAGCCGCGGUAAUACGAAGGGUGCAAGCGUUACUCGGAAUUACUGGGCGUAAAGCGUGCGUAGGUGGUUCGUUAAGUCUGAUGUGAAAGCCCUGGGCUCAACCUGGGAAUGGCAUUGGAUACUGGCGAUCUAGAGUGCGGUAGAGGGCAGUGGAAUUCCCGGUGUAGCAGUGAAAUGCGUAGAGAUCGGGAGGAACAUCUGUGGCGAAGGCGACUGCCUGGACCAGCACUGACACUGAGGCACGAAAGCGUGGGGAGCAAACAGGAUUAGAUACCCUGGUAGUCCACGCCCUAAACGAUGCGAACUGGAUGUUGGGUGCAACUAGGCACUCAGUAUCGAAGCUAACGCGUUAAGUUCGCCGCCUGGGGAGUACGGUCGCAAGACUGA